rnacentral:rRNA from 1 species
UUGGAGGGCAAGUCUGGUGCCAGCAGCCGCGGUAAUUCCAGCUCCAAUAGCGUAUAUUAAAGUUGUUGCAGUUAAAAAGCUCGUAGUUGAAUUUCGGGAUCAGAUUGUCGGUCGUGCCUCGGUACGCACUGGCAUUAUUGGUUCCUACCUUCUGAAGAACCGCGAUGUCAUUAAUUUGGUGUCGUGGGGAAUCAGGACUGUUACUUUGAAAAAAUUAGAGUGUUUAAAGCAGGCUUACGCUUGAAUACAUUAGCAUGGAAUAAUGAAAUAGGACGUUUGAUUCUAUUUUGUUGGUUUCUAGGAUUGACGUAAUGAUUAAUAGGGAUAGUUGGGGGCAUUAGUAUUCAAUUGUCAGAGGUGAAAUUCUUGGAUUUAUUGAAGACUAACUACUGCGAAAGCAUUUGCCAAGGAUGUUUUCAUUAAUCAAGAACGAAAGUUAGGGGAUCGGAGACGAUCAGAUACCGUCGUAGUCUUAACCAUAAACUAUGCCGACUAGGGAUCGGAUGAUGUUAAUUUUUUAAUGACUCAUUCGGCGCCUUACGGGAAACCAAAGUGUUUGGGUUC